rnacentral:rRNA from 1 species
GUCGAACGGUCUAAUGCUUAACACUGAGUAUUCAGUAAAGUUGGAACAGCGAGAGCGCGAAGUAUGAGCGCUCCACGCAUUAAAUAAGUGCCAACACAAUUAGGAGACUGAAUGUUGAGUGUUAAGUAUUAGAUAGUGGCGGACGGGUGAGUAACGCGUGGGUAACCUACCCAUAAACCCGGGACAACCCUUGGAAACGAGGGCUAAUACCGAAUAAUCUUUGAGAGUGGCAUCACUCUUUAAGGAAAGGUGGCCUCUGAAAAUGCUACCGAUUAUGGAUGGACCCGCGUCUGAUUAGCUAGUUGGUGGGGUAAAGGCCUACCAAGGCGACGAUCAGUAGCCGGCCCGAGAGGGUGAUCGGCCACACUGGGACUGAGACACGGCCCAGACUCCUACGGGAGGCAGCAGUGGGGAAUAUUGCGCAAUGGGGGAAACCCUGACGCAGCAACGCCGCGUGAGUGAAGAAGGCCUUCGGGUCGUAAAACUCUGUCUUUGGGGAAGAAAAAAAUGACGGUACCCAAGGAGGAAGCCCCGGCUAACUACGUGCCAGCAGCCGCGGUAAUACGUAGGGGGCAAGCGUUGUCCGGAAUUAUUGGGCGUAAAGGGUGCGUAGGCGGCCGACUAAGUCAGAUGUGAAAUACCAGGGCUCAACCUUGGGGGUGCAUUUGAAACUGGUUGGCUUGAGUGCAGGAGAGGAAAGUGGAAUUCCUAGUGUAGCGGUGAAAUGCGUAGAUAUUAGGAGGAACACCAGUGGCGAAGGCGACUUUCUGGACUGUAACUGACGCUGAGGCGCGAAAGCGUGGGGAGCAAACAGGAUUAGAUACCCUGGUAGUCCACGCUGUAAACGAUGAGUGCUAGGUGUAGAGGGUAUCG